CGUAUUCCGCACGAACGAGAGAGCACACCCUUCACACGGGUGGGGUCGCAGGUUCAAUCCCUGCAUCGGCCA
rnacentral:tRNA from 1 species